rnacentral:rRNA from 1 species
GCAAGUCGAGGGGAAACGACAUCGAAAGCUUGCUUUUGAUGGGCGUCGACCGGCGCACGGGUGAGUAACGCGUAUCCAACCUGCCCAUCACUUGGGGAUAACCUUGCGAAAGUAAGACUAAUACCCAAUGAUAUCUCUAGAAGACAUCUGAAAGAGAUUAAAGAUUUAUCGGUGAUGGAUGGGGAUGCGUCUGAUUAGCUUGUUGGCGGGGUAACGGCCCACCAAGGCGACGAUCAGUAGGGGUUCUGAGAGGAAGGUCCCCCACAUUGGAACUGAGACACGGUCCAAACUCCUACGGGAGGCAGCAGUGAGGAAUAUUGGUCAAUGGGCGAGAGCCUGAACCAGCCAAGUAGCGUGCAGGAUGACGGCCCUAUGGGUUGUAAACUGCUUUUAUAAGGGAAUAAAGUGAGUCUCGUGAGACUUUUUGCAUGUACCUUAUGAAUAAGGACCGGCUAAUUCCGUGCCAGCAGCCGCGGUAAUACGGAAGGUCCGGGCGUUAUCCGGAUUUAUUGGGUUUAAAGGGAGCGUAGGCCGGAGAUUAAGCGUGUUGUGAAAUGUAGACGCUCAACGUCUGCACUGCAGCGCGAACUGGUUUCCUUGAGUACGCACAAAGUGGGCGGAAUUCGUGGUGUAGCGGUGAAAUGCUUAGAUAUCACGAAGAACUCCGAUUGCGAAGGCAGCUCACUGGAGCGCAACUGACGCUGAAGCUCGAAAGUGCGGGUAUCGAACAGGAUUAGAUACCCUGGUAGUCCGCACGGUAAACGAUGGAUGCCCGCUGUUGGUCUGAAUAGGU